rnacentral:rRNA from 1 species
UGAGGAAUAUUGGUCAAUGGACGAGAGUCUGAACCAGCCAAAUCGCGUGAAGGAAGACUGCCCUACGGGUUGUAAACUUCUUUUGUACAGGAAUAAAAGACAUUACGUGUAAUGUAUUGCAUGUACUGUACGAAUAAGCAUCGGCUAACUCCGUGCCAGCAGCCGCGGUAAUACGGAGGAUGCGAGCGUUAUCCGGAUUUAUUGGGUUUAAAGGGUGCGCAGGCGGGAUUUUAAGUCAGCGGUGAAAUUUUCAGGCUCAACCUGAACACUGCCGUUGAAACUGGGAUUCUUGAGUAUGGAUGAAGUAGGCGGAAUUCGUUGUGUAGCGGUGACAUGCUUAGAUAUAACGAGGAACUCCGAUUGCGUAGGCAGCUUACUAAGCCAUAACUGACGCUCAAGCACGAAAGCGUCGGGAUCAAACA